rnacentral:rRNA from 1 species
UACGGAGGAUCCAAGCGUUAUCCGGAUUUAUUGGGUUUAAAGGGUGCGUAGGCGGCCUAUUAAGUCAGGGGUGAAAGACGGUGGCUCAACCAUCGCAGUGCCUUUGAUACUGAUGAGCUUGAAUACACUUGAGGUAGGCGGAAUGUGACAAGUAGCGGUGAAAUGCAUAGAUAUGUCACAGAACACCAAUUGCGAAGGCAGCUUACUAAGGUGCUAUUGACGCUGAGGCACGAAAGCGUGGGGAUCAAACAGG